UGACUUAAGUGUCUUAAUGUCUUAAACCACGAGGGCUGAGGGAGGUGAUGAAGAGAUGUAACACAAGUGCCCUAAGUCGAGCUCAGGGAGGCCAGAAACCUCCUGUAUAGCAGAAGGGCAAAAGCUCACUUGAUCUUGAUUUUCAGUAUGAAUACAGACUGUGAAAGUAGGGCCUCACGGUUCUUCUGACUUUUUGGGUUUUAAGCAGAAGAUGUCAGAAA
rnacentral:ncRNA from 1 species